rnacentral:siRNA from 1 species
UUUCGAUUUUGGGGUUGUA